UUGCGGAGUAGACAAACUGGUAAAAUCAUUAGCCUUUGAAGUUAGAGUUUGUAGGUUCGAAUCCUACCUUCGCAGU
rnacentral:tRNA from 1 species